rfam:Triticum aestivum genome assembly, contig: Triticum_aestivum_CS42_TGACv1_scaffold_131619_2BL
CAUGUACUCCCUCCAUCCCAAGAUUUUUGUCUUAGAUUUGUCUAGAUACAUAUGUAUUUAGUUAUAUUUUAGUGUUAGAUGCAUCCGCAUAUCGAGAAAUGUAAGACAUAAAUUUUGGGACGGAGGUAAUACUAA